rnacentral:lncRNA from 1 species
CUGCGCGCCCCAGCAAUCUAAGCAGAUGGCCGCACUGUCGGGAACAUCUGGAGGUCGCCGGAGAAAAACGUUUGUAAAAAUGGACAGAGAAGAGGAUUCUGGGUAGAUGGCAGAGUAGGAAGCAUCAGGAAUCCAUCUUCCCACCUAGACAACAAUUGCACUGGCAGAAUCUGUCUGAUGUAACUGUUUUGUAACACUGGAGUCUAUUGAAGGCAUGAAACUUCCAGGGGAAGUCUUGGACAGUAAAUUGUGCUUAAUUUCAGUCAAUUUUAGCUGUUAACAUGAAAGCAGCUACUCUGACCACAGCCCCCUGUCAGGCGGCUGUAUGGGUGUUCCUGCAGCAACCUGCACACAGCUUGUGAGAGCCAGGGUGGACAAAAAGGACCCUAUAGUGAAUACAGAGUAUCUGAGCUCUGAUCACUGAUUAUUGCUUCUAAUCAAAGAAAUACAGACACAAAAGCAGGUGGCCAUUGUUGUUGCACCUCUCCUGUUGUUGCAAGACUCUCCCCCUCCAGCUGAAGUGACUUCCAAAGGAUUUAAAGGGCUAGUGCCCUUCCUUCUCCUUUAUUUUUCUCUUUUUCCCAUUUAAGAGCCAGACAUUAAAAACUAGAACAUUUAAAAGCAACUGUAUAUACAGGAAAAGUUAGAAAGUGACCAUGUGUGUUCAGGGAAAGGUUCACACUCAGAAAAGACUCCAGAAGACCUUAAGUUUACAUUGCAAGCUAAUGUUUGGCACAGAGACAGUCCACAAGAUCAACAGAAAAACAGCAACAGUUUAUACCUCAGGCUGAUCCUGGGCACAGAGACAGCCUACAACAUCUACAGAAAAACAAUAACAGAAACCAGCAAACCCUAGGGAAAGAAGAGAAUUGGAUUUCCAGAGCUACCACAUCAUUAGUUAAAUGUUCAGUUUUCAACACAAAGCAUACAAAGAAACAGGAAAUUAUGGCCCAUUAAAAGGAAAACAAACAGAAACUGUCCCUGAAAAAGACCUGAUGGCAGAGCUACCAGACAAAGACUUUAAAACAACUCUUUUAAAGAUACUGAAAGAACUAAAGGAAGAUGUAGAUAAAGUCAAGAAAAUGAUGUGUGAACAAAAUAGAGGAUCAAAAAAGAGAAAACCUAAAAAUAAGCCAAAAAGAAAUUCUGGAGCCAUAAAGUACAAUAACUGAAAUGAAGAAUUUACCAGAGGGAUUCAGACAGAUUUGAGGGGGCAAAAGAAGGAAUCCACAAAUUUGAAGAUAGGACAAUAAAAAUGGUCGAGUUUAAGGAACAUAAAGAAAAAAGAUUGAAGAAACAUGAACAGCACCUAAGCGACCUAUGGGAUACCAUCAAAUGGACCAACAUAUGCUUUGUGAGAGUCUUAGAAGAAGAGAAAGAAAGGAGCGGAGAGAAUAUUUGAAGAAAUAAUGGCUGAAAACAUCUGAAAUUAGAUGAAAUACGUAAACAUCCAAGAAGCUCAGCCAACUCCAAGUCAGAUAAACUCAGACCCACACUGAGACUCAUUAUAAUCAAACUGUCAAAAGCCAAAGACACAGAAUCUCGAAAGCAGCAAGAGAGAAGUGACUUAUCGUAUACAAGGGAUCCUCAAUAAGACUGUCAGCAGAUUUCUCAUCAGAAACUUUGGAGGCCAGAAGGCAGUGGGAUGAUAAAGUGUUAAAAGAAAAAGAAAAAAACUGUCAAUCAAGAAUCCUAUAUUUGGCAAAACCAUCCUUUAAAAGUGAGGAAGAAAUUAAGACAUUCCCAGAUAAACAAAAGCUGAAAGAGUUUACCAUUAGACCUGCUCUACAAUAAAUACUCAAGGGAGUCCUGCAGGUGAAAUAAAAGGACACUAGACAGGGACACAAAGACAUUUGAAGAAAUGAAGGUCUCAAAAAAGAUAAAUAUGUAGGCAAUUACAAAAAUGGUUUGUAACUCCACUUUUUGUUUUCUACAUAACUUAAGAGGCUAAUUAUUUAAAAGAAUUAUUAGUUUGUGGUUUGGGGCACACAAUGAAUAAAGAUAUAAUUCUGUGACAACAACAACAAAAAGGCCUGGGGAUGGAAUAUGUUAAAGAAACAGAAUUUGUGGGCUGGGCAUGGUGGCUCAUGCCUCUAAUCCCAGCAUUUUGGGAGGCCGAGAUGGGAGGAUCACUUGAGGCCAGGAUUUAAACACCAGCCUGGUCAACAUAGUGAGAUCCUGUCUCUAAAAAAUAAAAUAAAAUAAACAGAGUUUGUGUAUGUUAUUGAAGUUCAAUUGGUACAGAUUUAAAUUAUAGUGUUAUAACUUUCGGAUGUUAAAUAUAAUCCCCAUGUUAACAACAAGAAAAAAGCUAUAGAAUAUAUACAGAAGGAAAUGAGAAAAGAAUUGAAAUGUCUUAUUACAAAAAAAAAAAGCUAAACAUAAGAGGACGGUGUUGUAGGAAAUGUACAAAACCUCUGUUGACCGGGCACAGUGGCUCAUGCCUGUAAUCCCAGCACUUUGGGAGGCCGAGCAGGUGGUGCUCGGUGACCUAAGGUGACCUUAGGUGAACCUAAGGUCAGGAGUUCAAGACCAGCCUGGCCAACAUGGUGAAACUCUCUCUCUACUAAAA